rnacentral:lncRNA from 1 species
ACCUCGUUCAGGAGCCACGGGCCUGAGCACCCAAGAUUAAAUCCUUUUCGGGUUAAAUGUCUUUCUUCUCUGGUUUUUGGACCUCAGAUGCAGAGAGCUGAGUUUCUCAUAUUGAUCAGUUCACAGCACAUUGUCUUCAUUGGUCUAUGCAAAGCCCUCUCUCGUUUUAUUUAUUCUCUUUUAUCUCCUCUCCCUCCAAGUUUCUUCCCCCACCACAGGCAACCAUUCUAAUGUACUUGCUAUAUAUACAGUGUAUACUUGUGUUUAUAUGCAUUCUUGUAAAAAUGCGUUCUGCUGCUAUGUAUGCCUGCAUUUUGAUUUUAUGUGAAUGCAUUGUGCUCUAGACUCACUCUGUUUGUUUUUUACUUCAUCCACGUGGCUUUGGGUCCAUCCAGUCUGUUGUUCCUGACUGCCACAGACUAUUCCAGCCUGCGGUUCCACCACGUUUUCCCCAUCCACCCCCUCAGUCCUGUUCACCCACACUCUUUCCAGCUCCCCAACACCACAGCACUGUGAGAGCCAUCCUUGCAUAGGUCCCCUUGUGCACCUGUAUGAGAAUUUUUCUGGGAAAAGUACCCUCUCUGGUCUAUUAGCUAUUUAUUUUAGGUCUUGUUACUUAUGUGUUUUUGCAUAAUGGAUACUUUCACACUAAUAUAUACCAAAAAGAAAAAUCCAAGUGAUUCUUAUAACAUAUUGACUAUAGUAGUGAGACCCAAACAACAUGCAUGAGUGGCUAUAGCAAACAAUCUAACACACCGUGAAUGCCAUGGAAAAGGCUGGGAAUCUUGGCAUCUCAGUGUCAUUUAAUCCUGAUACUCUGUCCGGCUGUGGUCUCUAGCAGGACUGCUGGAUCACCUUAAAUGAAAUCUCAGUGAAAUUUAACUGUUUCUUGACUUGUUCAAAAAUAUGAUUGAGUUAGAGUUCCAACUCCUGUGGAUCUUAGCUGAAAUUCUUACAAGUUUUUUCCAAAAAAGGCAAAGACUAAAUCUGGUUCAAGAAAUCAGGUUCUAUGCAUUAAACCUAAUCUCUGCUGAUAAAACUAGGCAGGAUCAGACAUUCUAGUUUGGGAAAGAAUGAAAUUUUGCCAAAACUCUGCUUGUUACAAUCAGCAUAAUAAGCUGAAUGGAAUGUUUAGAGAAGAGCUCAGCAUUUAAUUGGCAAAUAUCUUGAGUGAUAGUUGUUGACUGAAAAUUCUUUGUACAGUAGCCAUGUUAUGUAAUGCACUGAUAUUUCUGAUAUUUCCAAACCAUUUCUGUGCUUUAAAGCAGUUGUUACUUUAGCAAAAGUAUUUAGGUUAAUGCUGAGACUUGUGGUAGUUUUUCUUCUUGAUCAGAAGCCUCAAAUAUUAUUGGGCAUUUACUCUCUAACUAGUAAAGAGUAGCAGUUAAUAUUGCAGGCUACUUACUAGUUCUGUCACUUAGGGCAAGACGCUUAUCCUCUCUGUGCCUCAGCUUCCUUGUCCGAAAGACUGAGAUGGUGGUAGGACCUGCUUUUUGGUGGUGGUGUGAGAAUUAAAUGGGAUAGCACACACAAGAUGCUUUGCACAUAGUAGGCCCUACAGCAUCAUAUGCCCUGGAGGUACUCAGCGCGUAUCCUGGUGAUGAUUUAUGCAGAUAUCCUGGUCAGAACUGGGACAUUUCAAGGUCAAGCAAUUUCUUUUACUUUAUGGGACUAUCCUCCAUUAGCUAGUCCCAUAGCAAUGCUCUCCUGCCCUCUGACUCCUUGUGUCCCCAGGCAACUAAAGCACACAGACUUCCUUCACUCACCCGUUCCUAUAGACAGCCUGUUCUUUAUGUGCAUUUGUUUUGUCUACCCAACUAGAUUGAAAUUGGAGGGAAGUGAUGGUGUCUUCUAGUUCCUUUGAAUCUCAGAAAGCCCUUGGCAAAUUCAAGGACACACAAUAGAGUAGUAGAAUGUUUCUUUCUGUACAAAUUUACAAAGUCCCUUUGAAAUUUUGCUAGCAUGAGAAUUGUACUUUCUUAACAUUUUUUAAAGGUAUGAAUGAAAUCUGAACAGUGUACCUUUUCUUUCCCCCUCCCUAGAGAAGUGAGGCUCGUGUUUUUCUGUAGCCAGCUUUAGCCAAUUACUCCAUGGUAUAGUUCCUUUCUCUCCAAAGCUCCCAUCAGGGUCAGCGUGGAUUUGCUUUCGACACAGACGGAUCUUCAGUCCUAUUACCUUUUCCAUGAAGGGACUUCCUGUUGAAGUAACUGAGCAGCACAAACCCUUUUGAGUGUGUGUGCGAAUGUGUGUGCAUGUGUGUGUUCGUUUAAAAAAACCACACUUCCCUUUUACACUGGUUUUUCAGCCUCCCAGUGGUCACAUACCAUCACAGGUCAAUUUCCUUCAUUAUUAGGCAACAUUAUGACCCUUUACAGGUGGGAAGUUGGACGCUUUCCAGUUGCUUCCCUCAGCCCGUAACUGAUUCAUGUAGCUUUCUGACAUUCAAGUUUAAAUGUAUUGUUUCCGUAAACAGGAGCAAUACUUUUCACUUGGGGACAUGGCCUGCAUGUUCUUAUAUGCUGCUCCCUCUUACUGCACAAACUCAUUUCUGCAGACCAUCAUUGUUCUUUCUGGAAAGAAUGUUUUCCCUUCUGAAGGAUUUUUUUCCUUCGCAGACCCAUUGGGUGCUGCUGGUGAUUUGGGGGAUUUUAGUUCUAUAUUUCUAUGUUCAAGGAAUUUUUAUAAACACCAUCACCACCUCUCCCUUUUAACUUCAAUAUUAAUUUUUAUUUUACUUCCUUAGUUUUUACCUUACCUUGUCUCAGAAAGGACGUAUGAUGGCUACUUGAAGAAAAAUGUUCCUUCCUCACAUCAUUUGUUCAAUAAACAAAUGCUAUACUCUGUAAGUUUCUAAUCAGUGAUCUCAUUCAUCCUCUCAAGAUCUUCAAUCUCAUCCUCUCUUGAGCAGAAACCAGAAGUCCAGCAGGUGAUGACUGUGGGGCUAAGAGAAGGCAGGAUGGGAAGGAGCAAAGUGACCAGAUGUGACUCCCUUUGUGCUUAGAGACUUAAUUGCCUGCUUCUGAUCAAGCUUAUUCCUAACCAAAGCCCUUGGCUGAAUAAUGUUCACUCUCAUUCUCAUUAAGGCAGGAGGCCAGAUCAGUUGAUGUCUUCAUCUCCUUCUCAGCACUGACUCAAUUCAUCCUGAAGCCCUCGCAGGAAUACCUGGGUGAGACGUUGGAAAGCAUUUGGUUCAUACUCUUCUCCAGGUUCUUACCAAGCUGGCUAAACCACCCCAAAUUCAAGCUCCUUCUUUUGUGUCUCUCACCAUCGCCAGUCCCAGGACAGUCUCGUUUCUUCUGCAUCAAAUUAGUCUCUCUCCUCUGAACUGGAGAGCUCUGGGCAUCUCUGGAAAGGCAGGGUACUGGCGUUCUUGUAUUCCCUACACACUGGCCAGAGCUCUUCCAUUUGUCACCAUCCCUUGGGCUCUGCUUCCCAGUCUCAAGGUGGCCACUUCUGCAAGGCCACUCCAGCCACUCCCUACAUUUUUGCAUUUGGAGGACUGACCUUCAGACUUCAUUCUCUCAUAAAUCUUUCUAAUUGCUAGUGUCUAAACUAAAAGCAAAAGUGUGUCCAAACUUCUCUUUUAAGCAUUAUAAAAGUUUUUCAGAGUGCAGCCUUAAAUCUGUCUUUUAAAUACUUAGGGGAGUAAAAAUGGCUGAGGCUGUGUAGCUCAAACAGCAACUGCUCCCAGGGGCCUGCACACCUUCUUCUGAAAGGCCACGUGUCUCCGUGAAUUUGAGUUUGAGCGGAGCUAGAAUCUUUUUAUUUCCCUCAGUACUGCCUCAGACUCUCAUUAACUAUUUGAUCCCUGACUUGUUUAAUUAUGGAGUGAAUUGAGCAUUCCUGGAACAGCUUCUUGUAGAAGCUAAAAGCAAAGGCCUCAACCCCAUAGACCUGGAUUAUAAUACAGACUCUGCCCCUGUUCUAGCUGGGUGACCGUGGGUGAGUUAUUUCGUCUUGAAACUUCAGUUUCUUCAUCUGUCCAGUGGGCAUGGUCACACCUGUGUUCUAAGGCAGUUAUACAGAGGAAAUGGGAAAACACGUGUUAAACAAUCUGCUGCUCAGUCACCAGGAUAGGAGCCCUGCCUGUCUGCACACUGCUCAGAGCCUGGGUGGGGGUUGCAGACUGGUUUGGGUAGAGCGUAGACAUAACUGUAGGAAGUGAUGUCUAAGCAGGGACCUGAGGGCUCAGUAGGAGUUCGGCAGGGAGGGUGUUCCAGGCAGAGGGAACAGCCUGUGCGGUGUGCCCCGGAGCAAAGAGGAGGAGAGGCUGGAGAAAGAAAUCUCAGCAAGACCAUCAAAGGCCACAUAAACCGUGCUUUGAACACCAGUUAGGAGGCUAUUGCAUUAAUUCAAAUACAAAACUUUGGUGCUCUAAAUGGGAGACAAAGCAAUGAGGAUGUGGAGCUGUCAAUGGAUUUAAGAGAGAUUUAGGAAGUAGAAGUGGCAGGAUUUGGUGAUUCACUGGGUGUAGUCUACGGGUUCAGGCAGCAUGGAUUCAACAGCUAUUUAUUGAGUGUGCCAUCUGUUCCCUGCAGGACCUUGACUGAUUGACUUCCUUAUCAACCGCUAGGCCAAAUGUCCAGCAAACCUCAUUCAUUGUCCAUUCUCAUGCAUCCUAGAGGCCAGGUUGCUUUUGUGUGGGGCAGGCCUUGCUAUGGAGUGUGCUUGGGGGUAGCCCUGGGCCAUUCUUGUUUUAGAAAAGCCAGGACUUUAAAGAGAGCUGUCAACACUUGAGGAUGUGAGAGUUAAUUACCAGUUAGUGGAUUCUCUCAGUCUUUAGACUCUUCUCCUUCCUCUGAAAGUCUGCUUUGUAAUCAAUGUGGUGGCCUAAAGAAAGGGUCAGAGAGGGACAAUCACCCAACAGAGCUACUGCCAUGUGGUCUUUGAAUGAGCUGAGCCAAUAGAGGACCACGGUGGGAGAGACCCUGAGCCGUCAUCUCUCCUUCAGAGGGCCUUUUAUAAUCAAGCUUUGGAUUCUUUGAUGCUAAAAUCUGUUUAAAAUCCCCGAUCCCUUACAAACAAAUGGCAAGCAGAGGCAGUGCAUAGUGGGAGGGAUGGCAGGGAAAGGAGCCUAGAAUUUAAGACAGUGCCUGGACAGGGAACGACUAUGGUGGUAGGGAAUCAGAGCCCCCUCUUCACGGUGUUGGAGAACAACAAAUAAAGAACUCUGAGUUAUUCUGAAGUUCCUUUUUGAUCACCAGACAUACCAUUCUGAAACUGGGCCACGUAGGUCACUAUUUUAAUAAGUUUUAUAUUAACAACAGCAACAAAAAUAGCCGACAUUAAAUGCAUAUUGUGUGUGAGGCCCCAUACCAGGCAGGGAACUUCAUUUCAUUUGUUCUACACAACGAUGCUAUUAGGGAAGUAGGACAAUUGUUCCCAUUUUGCAGAUAAGGAAACUGAGGCUCAGAAAGUCCAUGUAACUUGCUCAGUGUUCUACUGCCAAUACGUAGUGGAGUUUACCAGGGGAAGAGCAUGAAAAUUAGGAUGUUUGGGUUUUGAUAGAAGCUGACAGCUCAACAAUUUAUUAUUUGUGGGAAGUUUUGUGUUUGGUUAUGAGAAAAUAAUGCUAAUCAGGUAUGCUGUGUGAAUACUGUUUAAUAUUUAUUUUAAAGCAAUUAAAUAGUGGUUUACAUGCUCCCCGAGAGGUCUUUACAAGGAGACGAAGUGCCCAUUCAUCCGGUUUGACCUCUGAUGGCCCCUUCAGUACAUAUAGCCCCUCUGUGGGGGGGUCUUGGCACCCCCAGCAUACAGCAGCUCUCUUGAAUUAACGGCACCCCAGAAGACAAGCCAGGUGGGCUUCUCAUUGAAAUCUCCCUCCUUGAGCCCGUGCACUCUGUGCUUUGCUCUUCCUAAAGCAUGCGGCUGGUGAGAAGGAUGCUAAGCCGGCUUGCAGACUGCCCGACUCCACCAUCCCAGAGCCCCAAGGAAGUUUCUCUCUCGGGAGCCAGCCCAGCCAGUUUGGCUCUGGUGGACAAGUCUGAGCUGGAUGAAGGAGCAGGAAGUGCUAGUUCCUGCUCUGCACGCAGUGAUCCUCAGCUCUUUGUAGAAUAACCUGUCCAGCCAGAGAGGAGAACCCCCCAGCAAACUGGCCGGACAGCACUGCCCAUCUCAGAAACCUGCUUGAGAGCUUGUGUUCUUUGCCUGGAUUUUUGAAAUUCCUUAAUUGGAGCAGUCUUGGGAAUAUCUUCAGAUGUCACUUCUCUGGCAAUGAUUUUGCUAGCCCGCAAUGUUCACCAACUCCCACGGUCCCUUAAGUGAGGAGCCUGACUAAUUGAGAGACAUCCUGCAGCUCAUGCCCCCUCUCUAGGUCUCAGGUUCUUUAUCUGUAAAAUGAAGUGUCUAGGUUCAGGGAGCCUGUAGUUUUGAUUCAGUAGAAUAAAAUGGAUAGUCUGUGCUACAAAAACAAUGGAAAUAAUCAUCUCUCCCAAUUAUAAAAGACUGAACUCACUAGAUAGAUACAGAGGGGUAACUGAGGCUAAGAUGGAUAUCCUGAUGUCCCAAGAGGGGAAGCCCAGGGCUUUUUCACACUUGAGGAAAGUCCCCAAACCUGGUAACCUAAACAAAACAGGCCCUCAGCUGAUUUAGGGUCCCCCCAGCAGUACCCAAGCCCCCACCCAGCCCAGAUAACAAGGGUGCAGAGGCAUCAGCAUUCCUGUAACAUGAUUCCCCUACUUUGAGUGGCAUCAAUGAAAGGAAAGAACCUAGAGAUGGUGGUGGAACGGGCCUUAUGACCUGUGUGGCCUUCCUUCUCUUUACCAAAGAUGGGAAACUGAGGCCCAGAGAGUUCACGUCCCUUGCUUGAGGUCUUCCAGGUUUGGAGCUGAGCCCAUCGGCCACAGUCUCCGCUGCCAGCCCAGUACCAGAAUGGAGAGGAAGGGAAUGUUCACCUGUGCAUCACCUCUCCUUUAAUCCACCCUAGGGAAUUCACUCCCCAUUUAGUCAGGGUAGACAGCCUGCGAUUUCCAUGAGUGAUUUAGGGCCAGCGGAUUUCAUUUCAGGAGCCCUUGCCACUUCAACGUCUGCCUUCCGGUCAUCGUGAAUUACCACGGUGUGCUAGUCCAGAAACCCCAAACAGUGUAUGAUCAGCGUUACCAACCCUGGUGAGGGAGAAAAAAGAACUUGUGUGCCUGUGAAGAAGUCAUCAUUUGGAUUUAAAUCAGCCCCGGCUAAAAUAAUCAAGGGACCUCGGGUCCUAUGAAAAGGUCAAAGGUUUGCAGGUUUAGGGUUUCGUGGGAACAUGCGCGUGUUUGGACUGGACCCAAGUGCCUGGUUGACCUGUUUGACAGGUAACAAUUAGAGAGUAGGAGCUUGCCUGGCUGGAAUGUGGCUGCAGAGGCCGGUGUGGAGGAUCUGGUUUACCUGCUCGGCAGGUGGGGCCUGCCGAGUCCGACAGGCAUGUGCACGCACAGCAUUCCAGAGAAUCGGUUUUCUUUUAAAGACACAGCCAUGACUGCAGGGCACAAAGGGUUGGGUUGAGCCCUGGCUGGAAGCCGUUAGCUAUUUGCAAGGUAAAGAAGCAAAAUAAAUAGUUCUCUUUAGACAGCUCAAGGAAGAAAUUGCAAAGGCGUUCGGGACUUUUUUUUUUAAUGUCUAAAACGAAUAUGUGCUUCUUGUCUCGAGACUUGAGAAAACCCAGACUGGUACAAAAUGCCAGAGAUAAUAGAAUUGAAAAGUCGCUCCCCCGUUCCCGGAGUUUUUUUUUCCUUUUUCUUUUUAAAGAGGUCAUAGUAUUAUUGAGAACAAAAGAUAGGCUCCUUGAAGGAUGGUGUUUGGCUUGAGACAGUCUAGAAAUGUUUGCUAUUUUUCUUAGCACAGCUGUAGAAGACACCCAGGAAAGCAAAGUUCUGGGUUUUUCCUCAAUAAAUUGUACAUAAUCUGUAUAUUUUGAAGGUUAAAAAUACUGUUUCGAUAAAACAGAAUUAAAGAAAGUAAUUUGGUGUUUAAAAUAAUAGAAGGAGAUUGGGAUAAUAUUAUAUACAUAAUAUACAGUAUAAUGGAGAGUCCACACAGACGUGGAGCCAUCUCCAUAACAUGGCUUGCUUGUGAUUCAAAGGGGUUUUUGGUAGUAUCACUUCAACUUCCCUGUAUCAUAUUUGUCAUUAAUGAGAAGGGGAAAAUCAAGCCAAGGGAGACUGGGACCUGAAAAUUGCAAUAUUAUAAGGAUCAUUGCUAAAACAAACUCAAAACUCUGAAAAUUUCCAAGUAAUUACUUUUUUUUAACUUACCAAGUUAGUUUGCUAAAAAAUAAAAUUCCCCUUCUUUCACAUUGUCUCUCCUCGUUGCAGAAAUUAUUUAAGUGACCUCCAGAUAAAUGAUGGGUGCAUCCUGUUCCUCUGUGUGCUCUCAAAACUCUGAAGUCCCAAGAUAGAGUCCCAGGACGCACAUCCCUGAGCUCCUGGUGUAAGGUGGGAGAGGCAGGAAGAACUGACAGCUGGUGAUUACACUGAAAGCACCUUGCCAGUUCAAAGAGUUAAUUAUAGUGAAGCAGAGGAUCUUAAAAUUCAAUUGGCAGAAACAAACAAGCAAACAAAAACUUAGCUGUCUCUUUGUGGACUGUUGCUGAUGGUAAAACAGCUGCUAAUGUGUCAAGUUAACUCUUUAGGUGUUUGUGUAAGGUGAAUAUUAUUGUGUGCAGACCAUUUACCAGAACUGAUCAAAAGUCAGUAAUAAUAAUAAUCCUGAAGAGUCAGAACAAUAAGAACUUACAGUUACUGAGCUCUUGCUAUGUGCUAUGUGCUGUGCUAAACUGUCUACAUUUUCUCCACAAUAAUCCUGAGACAGGUAUUAUCAUGAUCUCCAUUUACAGGCAAGGAGGUGGAGGCACAGAGAAGUUCCAGAACUUCCCUAAGAUCAUACUGUUGGUAAGUGGCAGAGCGAGGAUCUGAACCCAGGCAGUUAAUUUGUUCAUUCACAGUUUUGAACUCCUCUUCUGAGACAGGCACGGUGCUGGGGGUUCACAAGACCAUGAUGAACUCUUAGUGUUGGUCCUUCAUGGACAACUUAGACUUCACGGAGUCUAAUGUUUGUUUCUGACUCCAAUACCAGCUUUCUUCAUAAUCCUCUGGAUGGUCUCUUAGUGGUACACACACUUUAAAGUCUGCCAUUGUCUGUGACCCCACCCAUUACCAUACCAGAGACCACGACCUUCACCUCUGCCAUUUCCUGGCUAUGCUGGGACACCCUCAGUAGCAGUGUCUCCGUGCAGCAAAGUACAAUGGCCAUUUUCUAGGGCAUAUACGACAUGUACACUCCAGGCCUGCUUUCUUUGCCUAAUUAGUGUGGGAGCAGUAAACUCAAAUUUGCAAGUCCUGUGAGGAGAGCUUACUAUGGGCGUGAGAAGCCAUUCUGAUUUCUAAGUAUCUUAUCAAUAGCAAAUAUUUGCAUGUUGGUUUUCACCCCUUGAUAAUUAGAACCUGAUCUUCACAGAUUCUGACAUAAUGAUCGCUUCCUGUGAAUCCUGAAAAAAACAAAGCAAAAUUAGCUUGCACUUUACCUACACAUAGGGAAGCACCUUAAAGGGGUUUCCUUAUCCUAUAGCAUUGCACACUUCCCCACAAGGUGGUUUAUUUCCCAACUGAAAUUUCCUUCUGAUAGUGUACAUAAAUCCUGAACUUUGUGCUCUUUGACUAAUUCAUCCCUUGCGUGCCUUUGAGCAAACUCUGAAGGACAGACGUGGCUUCUCUGGCAAUGACCAACUUUCAGUGGCCAUGGAAAGGGUGAAUGACCACUUACUUGGGGUAGAGUAAUACUAAUGAGUGGUAAUAGUGAUAAGUAUACUGAGGGCCUGCUCUGGGCUAGUCACUGUGCCAAACGCUCUACAUGCAUUGUCUCAUUUAAUAAUUACAGUGGCCAUAGGUAUGUAUUAUGAUUACAAGUAACAAGGAAGGAAGCUUGUUCGCAAAAUGUAAAUAACUUACUUGAGGUCACACAGCUAACAAAUGGCAAUGCUAAGAUGCAGAACCAGACCCAUCAGGUACUAGAGUCUGCAUCAGGCAGGAUGUGGAAGCAAAAGGCUAUUUGGUCUUUAAGGUUUUGUGAUUGAGAUGUUCUGCUCUACUCUGCUUUGAACAAAGAAUAUCAGAAGUGUUACCUUGGGUUCCUCUGGUCACGGUACUUUAAGUGGGAAAAUAAACAAUCUGAAGCAGGUUUUAAGGCUAAUAACCAGAGUGGAGAGAUGCUCAAACCAUGUCAUGUGAGGAGAGUUUAGGGAACCAGAAAUAUUCAUAGGCAGGAGUUGAGGAGACUAGGGCUGGGGAAUUGGGAGGGAGAGUAGGCUAAUUGGCUUCAAACAAUUGAAGGACUGUCCGAGGCAAGAAAGACUAGGCUGGUGUUGUGUGGCCAAUGAGGACCAAUAAGAAGAAGUUGGAGAGGAACAUAUUUUGAUCCCAUAUACAGAUGUUUAUUAUCCCUCAGACUGGAAAGUGGUGGAAAGAAUGUUUGAAUGCCAGUUCCAUCACUGCAGUAAGCAUUUAUUGUUUUUCUUUCCAGAGUCCUUUCCUCUUUAUUCUGAAAGCAAUGGUCUGAUUUCCUUUGGGGAAAUAACAUUUCCUCAUUAAGAGCAGUCUAGGUGGGAUAAUCAGUCAAGUUGUACCAUUCACCCUGGGCCAAGAGUUGAGCAUGUGACCCAAGUUGGCCCAGUCAAAUUCUUUUUCCUAGGACACUCUAUCUUGAGCUGAGUAACAUAAGCAUGGAAACAUGGCUGGGGCUGAUUCUUCCCUGAGCAGAGCCCUGACCCAGGAGGACACCAAAAUACUAGAAACACACUUAUGUAUUAAACAUCUCCUUCAGGCCGUGUUUUCCCACCGUUUUCUUCCAGACUUUAAGAAGAAUCAUCAAGAAUUAUAUCUCAAACCUAAAUUCCUUACGACAUGAUUUGCCCUUAAGAAUAGGAUUAUUACCAUCCCUGGUCCUACCCUUCAACAUUCUCUCAAUUUUAUGAGCUACCUAUGUCUUCCCAAUAAAUUCUCUUUUUACUUAACUUAAUAGAAAUGUUUUUCUAAUGUCAGCAAAGUGUUCUAACUGACACAACCAUUAACUAGAUGUGUGGCUAUGAUCUUGGAAAACAAUUUCACCUCUCUGAGCCCUAGUUCCUUCAUUUGAAAAUAAUCCCAGUAGGUUUUAGAGUCUAACAUGAGAUAGCAUCUACAAAGAGAAAGGCACAUACUAGGUGCUCAACAAGUGCUGGUUGGCUUCUGUUUCUCCUCUGAAAUAUAAAUGUUCUGUUUUCAGAAAAAUUGAGAGAGAUACUAUAUGUAAGGUAGUGCCUAGCACAUAGCAGUGCUCAAUAACUGGUAGCUAUGGAAAUGAUGUGAUUAUAAUUUUCUGGCAUGGGAAGUAUUCAGUCUGGACUGGAAAAUCAUUGGCCAGGGAUAUACAGAGGUUAUUCAACCAUGGGAUGGGUGUUUGGACAUGAUGACCUCAUUUUUUUCCUACACUAAGAGUCUGUGAUUCUAUAUUAGAGAGAUUUAGCAUUGUCUUUAAGGAUGUGCAGCUCCUUUAAAGCAAAAUGGCAGAGACAAUAGGCUUGGUAUGAGGACUGAACAUGGUUGGGAAGAUCUCUGGGGCUGAUGUCCAAGCCAACACUGAGGAGGGGUCACUAACCAACCUGCCCGGAGAGAGCUCUGACGAUCACCCAGGUUAGUGUCCAUAAAGACUAACUCACUCAGUGCUUCCACCAUGGUUUUGUCUUAAUUAGGAACAGAGACUCAUUCAAGUUGUUCCAGAAAUAAUGGACUUUAUUGAAAGGACACGUAUACAUGGGAACUCUGGAAGAGCCAAGGAACCCAGCCUCAAGAAAGGCAGAAAUUAAGGCAACUCUGUGAUAAGCUCUUUUCACAUUUCCAGUUCUCCCCCUCACAGCAAAGUCUCUCUCUUUAUAUUGCCUCCUUUAUCCUCUUCCUUGCCAGCUGGCUAUUUCUUGUUAUCUGUCCAUAAAUGGCCAUUCAGUCCCCAAAUCUGCAUGAUCUUCUGGGUCCAGCCACCGUAACUAACGAACCUCUGGGUGUCUUUACCUAAAUCCUGAGAGACAGAUUUGACUGGCUUAGCUGUUGAGCCAGGCUAUGUCACAGGCUACCGAUGCGCCAUCCCUGAGAUCUGUGUCCUCACCAGGUACAAUCAGCUGAGUCUGGGGAGACAAGCUCACCUCCUCUGCUACCCACUCAGCAGGAGAUGUGGACUGGUCAGGAGACAUUAGCAAUAUUUGGUAAGAGGCAUCUUACCUGUGAUGAUACCAAAAUAUAAGAUACAUUCCUGUAUAUUAAACAUCUCCUGUAAGGUAUAUUUUCCCACCAUUUUCUUCCAGUCUUUAAGGAGAAUCUCCAAGGCUUAUAUCCUCAACCCAAAUUCCUUAGAUGUGGUUUGCCCUUGAAGCAAAUUUCCCGUGACAACAUGGAAAUCUCCCUUCUGUGGUGGGUACACAAGUCAACAUUGAAGCAACUGGGUCUUCAAACAUGUGGUGUAAAAUUGAGCUAGCACUAAAGUGUUUCAACUGAAAGGCUCUGGUUUCCAGUUGAAGGAGAAGUGGAAGGAGGACCUAAGGCCAUGGGAAUGGGAAGAAGACGACAAUAAGAAGUAAAGGGAGCUGAGUGAGAGAGCCAGGAAGGAACGAGAGGUCAGACGGGAGCUGCAGCUAGGAGUGGGAGGAAAGCCAGUGAAGACGAGAAACCAGAUAAGAACUGCUGCUCCCACUUUGGGUCCCAGAAUACCUAGCGUGAAACUAGAAAAAGAGUACAGAGAGUCAGGUAGACUGAGAGAACUGGGCUGGGUGAGGGCUCGACCCCAGUGAUUGUAUUGAGUGCCAGCUAUGUACUAGGCAUGUAAGAUCUCUCCUAGGCUUGGAGCUGUGUUUAUUGUUAGACUCUAAUUGUCAACUUGCAUUCAGUUUGAACACUUGUAAGUUCUUAGCUACUAUGGUCUCAUGGACUCUGACUAAAGAAAAGUUCAGGGUAAGAAGGAGGAUAUAUUUCUAAGACCAGCGAAAUGUCUAAAACCAUAGGUAACACAAGGGAGAGUGGAACGCUCUAGAAAGGUCCUUGAACCUAAUAUUCCUUGAGAAAUUUUGAAAGCCAACCCACAGAUUGCCCUGUAAUUUGUCAUAGUCUUGCAUGCCAUUCACAUGCCUGUGGGAUCCAACCCCAGGGCUGGACUUGCAUCUUUCCAAUUUGUUUUGAAAUACUCCUUUGACACAGUGUCUCCAAGAAAACAUUACCACAAGUUUCUCUUAGGAGUAGGAAGUUUAAUGGAUUACCCUGGGCUAACGAGAGGAUUCUGGGCCCGGAAUUCUGGGCCCACACUCUUCAAGUCUGAGGAUUAAUCCUCUUCUAAGGGGUGGGUAAGCCUCUGCUGGUUGAUUACAAAUGUUCCAGAUAGAAAUCUUUAAGGCAGGAACUUUGCGAACAACAAAAACAACCACAGAAAAACUCUAUAGAAGGCCUUACCUUAACUCAUUACUUACUCAACUUUGUGAAUUUUGAGGACUUAAUGAGGCAUUUUAAAUAAAGAAAUAAGUUACUUAAAGGCUAAGGAUAUGUGGGACCAGCUUAAAUUGGGCAAUGAGAAACCUAAAUUGCCCUUUCAGAAUAUUAUUCACCCUAUAAAAACAAAUCGUAUUUGUUCCCAGUAAACAUGUCAGGACAGCAGCUGGAUAAGACAAGUGUAGACUGGUUGCUGUCCAAUCUGCCAACUUUCAGAUAAAAGACCGGGAUCUGAUAAGCGACAGAUUACCCUGAGAACAUUUGCGGCGGGAUCGUUUCUGCUUCAUCAUUUCAGUGCCAAACGUACAUGCACUGCACACCUAUCAUGUACCAGGAGCAGAGUGUGGUGAUUCAGAGUGUAAUCCUGGAGGCAAAACAACUUGGGAUGGAAUCCAUUCCCACUACAUGUUAGCUCUGUGACCUUGGGUAGGUGACUUAAUUUCUUUAAGCCUUGGUUCCUUUAUCUAUAAACCAGAAUGACAAUAUAUUGACCUAAUUAUAGAGUUAUUGAAGAUGAAAAGAGAUGGCAAGAGGAAAAUCUAGUGCCCAGAAUACAGGAAGCGCUCAGUCAAUGGUAGGUAUCAUCCUCUUCAUCGCCAUUGUUCGGGGCUGAAUCAUUUCCCCCCCAAUUCAUGUGUUGAAGUCUCAACCCCCAGUACCUGAGACUGUGACCACACUUGGAGAUACGAACUUUGAAGAGGUAAUUAUGGUAAAAUUAAGUCAUCUGAUCUUAAUGCAAUAUGACUAGUGUCCUUAUAAGAGGAGAUCAGGUCACAAAGACACAGGCAGAAGACAGCCAUCCAUAAGCCAAAGAGAGAGGCCUCAGAAUGAAAUUAACCCUGCGGACACCUUGAUCUUGCAUGUCUAGCCUCGAGAACUGUUAAAAAACAAAUUUCAGUUGUUUAAGCCGCCCAGUCCGUGGGGUUUGUUAUGACAGCCACAGCAGACUAUUGCGGUCCUCACCAUCCCUAUCACCAUGUGCUGGGAUUCAAAGAUGAUUAUGCCAUUAACUCUUUUUCAGUGAACUCACAAUCUAAUAGAGAGAGACAAGCGUGUGGGCGUAUAUUCUUUACAAUACAGGCUUAUAAGGACAAAAAUAGAGGUCUGUACCCAUUAGAGGACGGGAGAGGAAUGCUUUACAGCAUAGAGGGUGGGAAGGUACCUAAAGGAGAAAAAAGGCAAAGGUUAUAAAGGAUGCUAUGUCUGAAAAGGUCGAGGAAAGUCACUUGGUAAAUAAGGUGGGACAGGGCAUUUUAGGCAAAGGGACAGCAUAUAUAGUGGAGUUCAUGUAUAACAAGGGACAUUCUUUGGGAUUUACUAUUUGGGACUCAUUGGUGCUGGAACAAGGGACCUCACCUCUUUGUGAUGGAGAGAAAGUAAGUCCUAAUCCAAACAAAGUGAGACGCUGUUAAUCAGCCUGACCGCUGGUGCCUGAAUGCUCAUUUCUACUGUCCAGAUGAGUUAAGGCGGGCACGAAAAGAGAAAUCCUGUUUUGGCCCACCACAAGCAUUUAGCAGGCCUAGUGUUUUUAGUUUGCAAGCUAAGGUAACAUGACACUUCAGCUUUAGCUCAGAAAAGACAAAAGGACAGUGAGAAUGGGGGAGAAAUAGCGUACUUGAGAGGAGGCGGUUAAAAUGUAAUCUGUUUGCUGUGGUGUGUACAUAUGUGGGGAUUUAAAACAUAUAAAAAUAUGAUUAUAACUGGCUUCACAUAAAGCCCUCAUCAUAAAUUUAAAAAAAUUAUGCCUUUAAAUGAACCACAAUAAGCAAGGUGGGGCGGUAUUAUUAUUCUCUGCCUGCUCAUGGAUUCUUGAGGAUUAAUGAGCUAAUGUCUGUAAAGCUCUCUAGCAAUGCAGAAGAAAAGAACUGGAAAACCGGGAAGUGUUACUAUCUCCUCCUCAACCUCCUGCAAAGCUCAAACACCAAACACAAAACAGUCUGUCUUAGCUUUUUAUCGUUUUUAAUAUAAUAAAAACCGAUUAAAGAACAUUUUGUUAAAAGACGAAAAAGAUUCCCCAUUUUACUAAUAUGGCAAAUUUUAUUGCUCUAUAGUUCCUUCAUCUUUAGUCUGAUUCGUCUAUGGUUGUAAUUAUUUAUAUACUUUAUAUUUUAAAUACUUAUGUAUUUUGCAUUAGCUUUUUUGUUUUUACUUAACAUAUACAAUUUGUUCAUGUUGCUACCCAAUCUUCAUAAUAAUUUUUAAAGUUAUUAUGUUGAUAUAUAAUUUAUAUACCAUCGAAUUAACCCAUUUUAGUAUAUGAUUCAAGAACUUUUAGUAAAUUUAUACAGUUGUCCAAUCAUCACUAAAAUCUAGUUUUUGAACAUUUCCGUCACCCCAAAAUUCCCUUGUGCCCAUUUGUACUUUCCAGUUUCAUUCCCUGCCCCGGGGAACCACUGACCUGCUUCUGUCGUAGAUUUGUGUUUCCUAGAAAUUUUAAGUAAAUUUAUGUCUGGCCUAUUUCACUUAGCAAAAAGUAAUUGAGGACCAACCACAUUGCAGUAGGUGUCCGUAGUUGGCUCCUUUUUAUUGCUGAAUAACAUUUUGUUGAAUGGAUAUACCACACUUCGUUAACCCACACUGCAGUGACAAACACUUGGAUUGUUUCCAAUGUUUGGUUGUUAUGAAUACUGCUGCUAUGAAUAUAUGUCUUUGUGUGGACAUGUUUUCAUUUUUCUUGGCCAGAUAACUAUGAGUGGAAUUGCUGAGUCAUAUGGUAACUUUGUGUUUAACUUUUUUUUUUGCUUGAGGAAGAUCGGCCCUGAGCUAACAUCUGUGCCAAUCCUCCUCUAUUUUGUAUGUGUCACCCCUACAGCAUGGCUUAAUUAGUGGUGUAGGUCCACACCUGAGAUCCAAACCCACAAACUGGGGCCACUGAAUGGGAAUACGUCGAACUUAACAACCAUGCCACUGGGUCAACCCCCAUGUUUAACUUUUUAAAGAAACAAUCAACUGUUCCAAAGUGUCUGCACCAUUUUACAUUCCCACCAGCAGUGUAUGGAAGGUUCCAAUUUCUCCACCUCUUUGCCAACACUUGUUAUUGUCUCCUUUUUGAUUACGGCCUUUAAAGUGGGUGUGAAAUGAUAUUUCAUUGGUUUCAGUUUGCAUUUCCCCAAUCUCUAAUGAUGUGGCCCAUCUUUUUGUGUGUAUCAGCCUUUUAUAUAUAUUCUUUGGUGAAAUGACUAUUCAGAUCUUUUGCCUGUUUUUAAAUUAGGUUGCUGGUCUUCUUAUUACUGAGUUGUAAGAGUUCUUAAUAUAUUCUGGCCUUACCUCCUUUGUUAGAUAUAUGAUUUGCAAGUAUUUUCUCACAGUCUGUAGCUUUUCUUUUCAUUUUCUUAGCGGUACUUUUUUGAAGAGGAAACGUUUUUCAUUUUGAUGAAGUUCAGUUUACCAAUUUUUUUCUUUUAUAAUUCGUGCUUUUGGUAUCAUACCUAAGAAAGCUUUCUCUAAUCAAGGUCACAAAGAUUUUCUCCUGUGUUGUAUCUUAAAGUGGAUGGAGGUGGCCCAUUUUACAGGCAGGACAAAGAAUUAGGAGCUUCAUAGAACUGCCAUGAAAUUAAAGAUCAACCACUGGAGGAGACCAGAAAAUGAUUCUGACUGUUUAAUUAUUGUCUCCUUGCCUUCUUCAGUCUCUCAUUAGUAAUUACCAAACGAAGGGAAAGCUUUCUAAUUUUGUCUGAUGUUAUAUUUUGAAUGUGAAGAGUCAUUUGAAGUCUUUCCAGAAGGCUCAGUGCUGAGUGUUUGCAUUCUCCAUAGACAUUCUCACUCUGUACGUCUUUUCCACACUCCCUUCCCUCCUAAGCCCUUUAAACCAAGGACACGACACCUCCCGCUCCCUUGGCCUGGAGUGUGGACUGAGAGAAAGACCUCGGGAUGGGUGACAGAGUACACAACGGUGGGGCUGUCCUGCAAAACAAAGUGAGCAUCUCUGCUGGCGAGGAAAUGCCAGCACAACUGACCUUCUCGCUCAGAAAAGCAGUGCACACAAAGCAGCUGGGGCUCUGCCUGGGAGCCUCCAGCUCAGAGGAAUGGAGCCUCUGAGCUGGGCCAAGCAGGCCCCAUACAGGUGGCCCAGGCCAGGAGAGCUGGGGUGUCUGCUUUGUCCAGGCCGGAAUUUGGGCUGCCUGGCCCAGUCUCGGCCCACUCUCAGUCAAAAGCUGGCAUUGAUGAGGGCAGUGGGUCCUGUUUCAUUCCAAGGCUGUGCCCUGAAACAGCACGAGGCUGAAAGUAGCUCUUCCUUCCCUGGGGAGAUGCUGAGAAUGCACAAAGCUACAGCCGCACGCCCCCCUUUCCGACCACCUGCAGACAGGACCAGCCCUACAGUCCAGGCUAUUUCCUCUGCCCAAAAUGACCUCCCCCCCCAUCUGCCGUUCUUCUCAUCACAGCUCAAAUCCCGUCUAAAUCAUUGAUUCUACGUGAACGCUAGGCACACGUCCCGAUCUGAGAAAUUGUCCCAGGUCUCCCUGGUGUGAAUCAACCCCCCUCCCCAGUGCUCUCGUAGCACUUUGUCCCCAUCUCUCUCGGAAUUUCUACACUGCUGGGCUGUCAUUCUGCUCUGCCCUCGGAGGCCCAGCUCUGCGGCUUCUCCUCUUACUCUUGAUUCUGAGCUUCUAUCUUCCAGUCUCUAGCUCUGCAAGCUGAUUCUGAUCUCGUGGCUCUUAUUUAACCACAAGAUUCUUUUGUUAUUGUUUUUCUCAUCAUCUCCCUAUAACCAGUGCUUCUUGGCACACACUUUGGGAAAUACUACUCUACUUGUAACGCAGCCUGGAGAUCUGACUCAGGUUCUCAUUGCUUUCUUGACUCACGGUUUGAUUUUGGCCUCAUUACCCCCAGGCAAACCUAAGCUAUGACCAUCCAGCCAUAAAACCUCUGCAGCAAGAACUGCCUCCCUUCCUUAAAUAUAUAUAUUUUUAGUUGUAAGUGGCUUUUGCUAUGGAUAAAAUUACCCUAUAGUGGAGGAGGUGUGGUUGUGAUGGUUGUAUGGGGGAUAGAUUCCUCUGACCUUCUGGAAAAUGUCCUUCUUUCAGAGGGUAUCGAGAGUGAGGAUUGAGGUUCAGCUCAGCUGGUGCCCUAAAACUCUAGGGAUUGGUCAAGAGGAGACCAAGUAGGUAGACGUCUUGGCCUCAUCAUGUCUUUUGACACUGCUGACUGUGUUUUCCUUCUGAAGCUCUCUCCUGCCACAAUUCUCUUCCUAUCUCUGCAUUCGUUCUCAGUUUGCAUCUUUUUUUAACCCACUUAAUUGUGGGUGUUUGCUGGAGUUCUCCUUGUCUUCUUUUCUCCAUUGGCCCACUCUGUGAUCUCAAUCUAUCUCAUAAAUUUAACUCCCACAUAUAUGUUGAGGAUUCCCAAAUCUACGUCCAACUCAGCCCUCUCCUGGAGUUACAGACCUGUAGAUAAUUAGCUGUGUCUUGUUCCUCCUCUCUCUUUCCCCUGGGGAAACAAACAUAACGAAACAAUCUAAUUCUCAUUUGCCAGAGAUGGACUGUGGGAGCUAAGGACAGAAUGAUGCGUUGAUUCAUCCAUCUACCCAUCCAUUCCACAAGUACGAAGCUCCUGCUGGAUGCUGAGCACUGGGUUAGGCACCAGGAACCCAAAGAAGAGUAAGACAUGGUGCCCACUGUCAAAAGCCCAGAAAGAUGACAUAUAAUAUAAUGUGGUAAACACAAUACUUGACACAUAUAAACAAAGUAGAAUGGGCAGUAGAGGUGGGAAUUACCAACUCUGCCUGUAGAAGACUUCACAGACAAGGUGCCUGGAGAAAUUCCUAGAGGUCUCUGGAUUUUUAUGUAUAUGGGCAUUCAAGCACAUAUAGAUUGGUGGUAGGAAAAUAUUUACCAAGAGUGAGGGUGGGAGCCAACAGCUGGUGCUAAGAAUGGUGGAGCAGGAAGAAAGGAGGACAGCGUCAUUGCGAUUAUUGUGGAGCAACCAUCUUGAUCCUGAACUCCAAACUUCUUUUAUAGGAGAGAAAAAUAGACCACUCCUCAUUUUUCACAGGAAGGGAGAGAAGGAGGAAGAGAAAGAGAAGGAGGAGGAGGGGGAGGAGGAGCAGAAGUGGAGGGACGAGGGGUGGAGGAGAAGGAGAAAGAAGAGGAAGUGGGAGGAGAAAAGGAGCCAGAUAGAGAAGCCAGAUAAAAGGACAAAGAUUUAUGUGACAAUCUUUUGCCACCUACAAGUAAUGCAUGCCAGAGAAAGCAGAUAUUCUGGGGGAGAAGGAUGCAAUGGACACUUACAGAGAACCAGAGAGAAACAGAUUAUCCCCAACGUUCUCGACAGCAGAUUCCCAGCCCUGCUGGGGGACAGUGUUUGAGAGAUGAAAGUUAGCAGCACAUCCACUCUGGGCGGGAGGUCACAGCCCCCUUGGACUGAAAGCCUCCACAGGACUCCCCUUUCCUCUCCCUCCAAGCCUAAUGCCAUCCUGGGGCUACUUGGUGUCCAUCACCCCUGUGCUUUGCUCUGUUCUUCUCACAGAGCUGUCAGUUGACAGACUUCAGUGAGAUCAGGGAAGGACUCCACUGGCCUUGGCUUGUAUCCUCACAGGGAUUCAAACACAUCAAGGCACAGGGGAAAUGAAAGCUUCUGCCUUUAACCCUGAAGGUCAGAGCCACCAUGAGGCCAAGAACUGGCAUGAAGAGAGUCACCUGUGCCACUGGAGAUGGCCAUGCCCACACAGCAAUGCCCAUUUUCGGAGGCAGAAGCUGUUCUCCACAGUGGUGGCUCCAGAAUUCCUACAGGAGCUGAGAGUUGAAAUACGUGCAGUAGAGUAAUCUGAUGGUGGAGGAUUUGGGGAGAGGCUCCUUCCUGGAACAUCUCAAAUCAAGGCCAAUUCUAAGCCCUUCCCCAGGACGGAGGCUUCACCUCUCCGUGGAGAUUCCCAGUCACCCCUCUUUGCCAGAUCACUGAUCUUCAAAUUGCACUCCUCAGACGCCUGCAGGUUCAGCCAAGAAAGAGCACUUUCCUUAAGGCUCAGAACAGACCCGGCCUGAGUAACCCACUACCAUCUUGGAGCUGGAGGGCAAUGGCAGGCCCAGACCCAUCAACUCUGCCCCAGUCCUCUCCUGGGAACUUCAAGGGGGAGAAAGAAUGAAGAAAGAAGAUGACACAAAGUCAAACCAAGACCACAAAGGUGCUAGAGCUUCUAAUCUCCUUGCUCUUUACCCUAUUUACAGAAAAGCUGCAAAGCUAGUACAGAGCCGCCCUGUACUCUUCACCCAGCUUCUCUUCAUGCUGUCACCUUAUAUAACCACCGGACAUGUGGCAAAACUAAGAGAUCAAGAUCGUUUGCAUAUGUACUUUUAAUAUGCUGCAGGAUGUCAACACUGUGCUAUAUAACAGAUAUGCUGGUCUUCUAGAUGAUCUCACCUGUGUACAACAGUCUCGGAGGCCAGUUUCCUCUUGAUGCCUCAGGUCGUGAAGCUCUUUGUGAAAAGAGGAAGAUUGCUAGCCCUGAUCUAGUCCAACUGCUUGACAGAUGAGGAAAUUAAAGCUCAGAGUGAACUGACUUGGCCAAAUCCUGGUUCAAAAAGACAAAACACAAUUAUAGAAAGAAAGAUGCAAAUGGCCAUUUUGAAGCAUCCAAAGGGACAAAAACAAUUUAACAAUAAACAGAAGAGUAGGGAUGUAAAAGUCAUUUCUUCCUCAAAUGGCAAAGGAUAAUGUGUUAUACAAGAGUUAAAGACAAAGAAAUUAUGAAACACUUGGAGCACCCUACGUCCAUUUGUACAGAAGAACUGAUAAUUUCUUAAUUUGGAAUCAGAUUACGUUGGAUUGAUGAAGAGGAUUUGGGAAGCAGGCAGACCACAUCAGAAAUGGCUCAAGAUUCUUCAUGCUGAUAAGACUCCAGGAAACUCACAUCCAGACCCGCUGCAGGAAAUGGAGGUGGACAUUACAGAUGCUUUGGAGGACUGCCCUUUCCUGGGAAAUUACUGGUGGCGCGCAAUUCUAGCCCAAGCACAAACAGAGGAGAGAUCUGUACCGUUGUGCCCCAAGAUCUAUACUGUUGGUGAUCAACCAGGUGCCAAACAAUCCUUCUGCAGGAAGGUUCCUAAGCAGUUAAAAUAUAAAACUGAACUUGCUGAACAGAUAAGAUUUACCCUGGAAAUUCAGAUUAUUGGCGACACACAGUAUGUGUACCGCUGGGUCAGUGAGAGUCGGAAGGGUACUCUCCAAGUUUAUCUCAGUGGUUAGUGGCUUGAGCUUGCCAGAGAGGCUGC